rnacentral:rRNA from 1 species
CGGACUGGUGAGUAACGCGCGAGGAACCUGCCUUCCAGAGGGGGACAACAGUUGGAAACGACUGCUAAUACCGCAUGACGCAUGACCGGGGCAUCCCGGACGUGCCAAAGAUUUAUCGCUGGAAGAUGGCCUCGCGUCUGAUUAGCUAGUAGGCGGGGUAACGGCCCACCUAGGCGACGAUCAGUAGCCGGACUGAGAGGUUGACCGGCCACAUUGGGACUGAGAUACGGCCCAGACUCCUACGGGAGGCAGCAGUGGGGAAUAUUGGGCAAUGGGCGCAAGCCUGACCCAGCAACGCCGCGUGAAGGAAGAAGGCUUUCGGGUUGUAAACUUCUUUUGUCAGGGAACAGUAGAAGAGGGUACCUGACGAAUAAGCUCCGGCUAACUACGUGCC